rnacentral:lncRNA from 1 species
UUAACUGAUGUAAUUUUAUUUUAAAUUAUAAAAAUACAUUUUCUGAUACAAUGUAUUAGUAUGAACCACAAUAUUUUAAAAUUUAUUCUUGCUACAAGGAAACUUCUAAAAACCAUUUCUUAUCUACAAAAGGUAUUUCAAAAUGUCUGCAUGAAUAACAAUUUUUUUUGAAUGAUUUACCUAAAUGUGUGGCUCUUUUUUUGAUUAUGAAGUAGGGAUUUUAAUUUGUAAAUCAGAAAUACAAUUUAAAACAGAUUUGAAUUCUUUAUGGAUUUCUUUUGUAUUAUUCAUAGAUUUUCAUUUCUGUUAAUGUGAAUGAAAUAAAACAAGAAGCAGGUAGUGAGUGCUGGCAUGUUGUAGGACACAUUCAAGCAAGGCAGUCAAUCAAAGAUGCUGCUUCUUUUUCCUAUCAUUCGAUAAUUUCUGGUGUGUAGAAACAAUUCCAAACAAGUCAAACAGUUGUCUGGAGACCUGUGCUUAGUCGAUCAAGGAUUCAUCCCCUUCUGAAGAUCUGCAUAUAGCUGUAGUUAAGUAGUAGCUAUAGCCAAGUAAUAUAUAUUGUUAGUAGCCAUGUAUAAUCAAUGAGUGAUAUUCCACAGCUGUUACAUUCAUGUUUGCAUCAUCUCUUGGUAAGACAAUAACUGCCAGCACUGGGUGCCAAAGUUACACAUGAAGAGAUUGUACGGCUAAAGACAGGGCAGGGACUAGACAUUUUGCUGCCUGGUGCAAUAUCUGUGGCUUGCAAGUUAUGCUGCCCAAUGACUGUGUAAGUUCUAAAAAUUUUGUUGUCCCUAAAUCCUGCCGUUUGAUGCACCCGAACAGGCUGCACUGGCCUCGCAUGAGAGAACCAAGUAUUUUUAUUCUACUAACCACGAGGAGAAGUAAGAAUAAAGUGGUCUCCUCAACAUCUCAAUUGGACUGUCUCAGAUUGAUGCAAUAACCUAUUCAUGGAAGAGUCAAGAUUUAUCCUGAAAUCUAAUGAUAAUUGUGUAAGAAUAUAGAGAAAGCAAAGUAUACGGAAUCAGGCCCAGAACAUUAUCGAAGAUAACACAUUUAGAUAUGGUAGCAUCAUGGUGUAGGCUGGAAUUUCAGUGGGAUAACACACACAGCUGCAUGUAUUUAAAGAAGAUUCUGUGACAGAUGCAUGAUAUCAGACCGAAGUCCUACAUUCCAUUGUGAGACUCUGUGCCACAGCAGUUGGUCUUGAUUUCCUUCUUAUGGAUGAUGGAUGAUAAUACAAAUCCCCAUUGAGCCAACAUCGCUAAUGAGUACCUAGAGAGUAAGGAUGUUUCUUAUGUAGAAUGUUCACUGUAUUCUCCUGAUCUUAAUCCCAAUGGAAGUUUUCGUGAUGCCCUCAGGUGUGCUGUCUCUGCAUGUUUAUCUCCUCCAGCCAGACUUGGACAAUUGGAAUCUGCCUUAAUGGAAGAAUAGCCAUUGCUAGCACUUGUAAUAGUUGAUCUCCUCAUUGAAAGCAUGUGCAGUUGCUGUAAAAUUUAUGUAAAGGUCUGAGGUGGUGACUUGGCUUAUUAAUGGUACAAAAUCAAGUUGAAAAUGAAGUCUUCAGAUGAUUCUUAUGCUCAUAUAUUGCUGAAAGGACCCAUUGUCUUGAAGGACAUUUGUUAUUUCAUAAGAAAUAUUCUCCUUUCAUUUGUGGUAUUUGCAAGGAAACGUUUACUCAGAAAUGUAAUCUUCUGGUUCAUUCAAAGACUCAUGCUGAUGACCGACCGUAUAUCUGGGAAACAUGUAACAAAUCAAUUUAAACAAAAACAACAUAUACAUGAUCAUUUAAGGAUCCAUGCUAAAUGGAAAGUGGCCUUAUGUUUGUGGGGUGUAUAACAAAAGUUUCAGGAUAAAAUCCCAUCUUGAUGGACAUUUAAAGAUGCAUACCAGUGAAUAAUCAUAUCAAUGCACAUUUUAUGUUAAAAAUUAGAAACCUAAAAUUUUAAUGCAUUACUAUUAUUAUGGUUAUGUGCAUCAGUAAUUUUAAUUUCUCUUCAAGAGUAUGAUGUUUUGUAUGAUACAAUUAAGUAAUAUAGUUUGUUAUUUUUCAGACAUUUUAAUUUUUCUUCAAGAGUAUGAUGUUUUAUCUGAUAUGAUUAUGUAAUAUAUUUUGUUAUUUUUCAAACCAGAAAUAUAUUUUAGUAGUUUUUAAUUAUCCUUGGCAUUCUUGUUGAUUUCAUUUAAUGCUUAUGAGUUCAUAUUAUGGUUAUGUUACUGUAAGAGCUUUGUGGUUCACAAGUGUUUUUUAUGUACAGGAGUUUUAGUAUCAUUAAAAGAAAGCAGCAGUUAUAGAAGAA